CAGUAAUCCGUUUGUCAAGACUGAGGGGGCAGAGGCAGGGCACAAGUUAACAAAGCCUUUCCCCACCCCCUUCUUCCCCCCACUCAGAGCCAGAUUAAGGAUGGGGCCCCGGGGGACUCGGGGAGAGAGAGAGCAAUGCAGGAGAGUGAAAUCUGCAAGAGAGCUGUGGAGUGUAUUACAGCCUGUCUGUCUGCAAAAUGUUGGAAAAAAGCAGUACUGGUCGUCCUACAGUAACUCCCAUGACAGCUGCUGAUGAUGAUGACGCUGCGGAAGCAGUCCUGGUAACAGCAUCCCUCCGCAACAACAGCAACACAGUGACAUGGAUGAGACAAUCAUGUUAGAAAUGCAGCCAUUCAGCCAAGGAAUCAGGCCCCCAGCACCUGUGAGUACACCACCACAGCAAAGCACACCACCACCACAACACAGCCCAACCACACCAGUAACACAAGGCCCUGAUCACGUGUUUUGGAGCAUUUGGGCUAGACAGCAGGCCACUAAUGAAGAUUGCCUGCGUAGGCAGACACAAAUGUUUGCAAGCCUACCAUGUCACCUCAGAAGAAUAACCAGAAAUAUGAGUAGACAAAAUGAACAAACCACGAGAAUUGGCAAUACCAUGGAACUCAUGCGUGCAGACAUUACACAGGUCAUGGGCAACUUACAGCGCAUAAUGGAAGAACAGCACAGACUAAUGGAAGAACAGCACAGACAACAGCAAAGCUAUUUGAACAUUUUUCAAAACAAUCAAGAGAUAAAUGAAUCUUUAUUCCGAAUUGUAGACAAUCAAAAUGCUGCUACACGUGAACUCAAUGCCACCCUCAAUAACCUCAAUGAAACACUCAGAUCCAUGCACCAACAGCAAACAAGCAGCAGUUCAGGUACGACUACUCCAAAUAUCACCCAAGUGUCCUCACCACCAAGGCGCUCCACCAGAGCACGCGAACACGACAGUGGUAAAGGCAAAGGCCAGUCCAAGCAGCCAACACCAAAUAAAUAAAAAUUAGAUACACCGAUCUCUGUAUAGAGAAGAAAAUAAACAGUUAGUAAGUGUAGGUUUUUUACAAUAUAUAUAACACCACCUUGACAAUUUGUUGAACAUCAUUAAUUAUAAGUGUUACAAACAACAACAGGAUUUUGGCCAACACAUUUAUUCUUUCACAUCUUACAUUUUUUUGUGAGGAGGAGAAAGUUAUUGGAUCUGCACAUUGAUGUUAGCAUGCAGUAACAAGACCACUUGAUUUUUUUCUAAUCAUUACUCUUUCUAGAUUCCAAUCAUUCUCAUAUCCUGCAGGCAGACUAAUUGGCAGCCAUGCAGAAUGUAUUUAGCAUGCAGUAACAAGACCACUUGAUUUUUUUCUAAUCAUUACUCUUUCUAGAUUCCAAUCAUUCUCAUAUCCUGCAGGCAGACUAAUUGGCAGCCAUGCAGAAUGUAUUUAACAUGCAGUAACAAGACCACUUGAUUUUUUUCUAAUCAUUACUCUUUCUAGAUUCCAAUCAUUCUCAUAUCCUGCAGGCAGACUAAUUGGCAGCCAUGCAGAUUCAUCCAUGACCAAUACAAAUUACAAUGUGUUUGUUAACUCUUUUACCUUUCUUCUGUAUACGACAUUACAAGAAUAACACAAUUGAGUUGGCUAAAAAGGUCGUAAUAUGUUGUAAUAGCAUUUAGAUAAUUCAGUGCCAAAAUGAAUGUCAUUAUUGUUGUGCCAUGUUUGUGUGUGUUAAAAAUGAGUAAUCAGUUUAGUACACAUGAUGCAGAAACAAAUAAAUGGUAUUUGUAUUUAAUGAGCACAAAUAAUGUGCAUAAUAAUGAAUAUAUGUGGGAAACUGUGUUUUGACUUACAAAUCAGCAAGUUUACUGCAGCAAACAUUACGAAUUUUUUUUUUUUUGAUGAUACUAAGUUUGUGUCCCUUAAAUACGAUGGAGCAUCACACAUAGGGACACAUGUAUUCCUCAAGGCUAACAUAUUAUAUGUGGAGGAGUGUUUAAUUAGGACACAGGUUCUCUAACUCGGUCCUCAGGACCCCACACAGUGCAUGUUUUGCAGGUCUCCACACAGAAUCACAAGUGACAUAAUUAUCUCCACCUGUUCAACUUUUAAAAUGUGUCUGUGAGUAAUUCAUACACCUGUGCUCCUACUGGGUUACCUGCAAAACAUGCACUGUUUGGAGUCCUGAGGGACGAGUUUGACACCCUGUGCAUUAGGACGUUACACACAAUCUUAAAGUAAAAUACUAAAACAAAUACUUUGUGGAUUAUGUGUGCUUGUAAUAAGUUAUCAGUGCAAGUUUAAUAACACUUAUCCAGACUUCAUGCAUGCCACUCAUAAUCUGUUUUGAGUUGUAAAAUAAACACAAUACACAUGCUA